CCUACGGGCGGCAGCAGUAGGGAAUAUUGCUCAAUGGGGGAAACCCUGAAGCAGCAACGCCGCGUGGAGGAUGAAGGUUUUCGGAGUGUAAACUCCUAUUGGUAGAGAAGAAAAUGACGGUAGGUAACGAAUAAGCAGCGGCUCACGCCGUGCCAGCAGCCGCGGUAAUACGGAGGGGGCAAGCGUUACUCGGAAUGACUUGGCGGCAAGAGCGCGUAGGCGGGAUAGCAAGUCAGAUGUGAAAUCCUAUGGCUUAACCCUAGAACUGCAUUUGAAACUGUUAUUCUAGAGUAUGGGAGAGGUAGGUGGAAUUCUUGUUGUAGCGGUCACAUCCGU
rnacentral:rRNA from 1 species